rnacentral:sRNA from 1 species
GCCGUCGUCGCCGGCGACGAUGUGUUGCGCAGGUCGGCGCGCAGCGCGAGGUUCUCCCGGUGGAGCGCGCUGGCCUUCUCCCUCAGCCUCUCGUUCUCCUCCAGGAUGCACCUGUUCUCCAGGUAGAGCUUCAGUUCAUGAAUCCAUCAGUCCUCAGACUACAAAAAUCUCACCAAAUUAAACAAAGUUGGGAUAGAUGCUAUUACCUCUUCCUCCUGAGAGCCAUGGGGGCAUGAGCCGGCUGCUUUCUCUGCUGCUGCUGUUGAUUGUCCUGCCUGAAUACAACCAAAGACAGAUAGAUCUUAUUCUUGCUGUUCCAGGAGCCAGAACACAUGCUAGCUGCUGGAUAUAGAUACAGUGUUUGUUCCUAGAUUCCAGUCAUCUGUGGAGCUCA